rnacentral:ncRNA from 1 species
GCAAAACCGAUGAGAAAGAGUAGUAAGCUUAUCAACAAAAUUCCAGAGAGCUGCAGGUGGUGUGAUUGCAGUAUUGAGUGAUUUGCCGAAUGGACUUUCGAGGGCAGUCUGAAAUAGAGAUAGUGGAGUGAUCCGGUAUUAAAAGAGUAGGCACUGUCGGGAACCGAACCCGUUAUCAAUCAGGAGUGUAUGAUAGUACAUGCGAAAGUGGACAUUAUGUUAAUUUGAGUGGUACCGCGAUAAUAAUACGAUAUUAUUACCGUCUCAAGC